CCUACGGGAGGCAGCAGUCGGGAAUAUUGCGCAAUGGAGGAAACUCUGACGCAGUGACGCCGCGUAUAGGAAGAAGGUUUUCGGAUUGUAAACUAUUGUCGUUAGGGAAGAUAAAAGACUGUACCUUAGGCGGAUGCCCCGGCUAACUAUGUGCCAGACGCCGCGGUAAUAUAUCGGGGCCAAGCGUUAUCCGGAUUUAUUGGGUUUAAAGGGUGCGUAGGUGGUCCGGAAAGUCAGCGGUAAACGCCCGGGGCUCAACGCCGGCGAGCCGUUGAAACUGUCGGACUAGAGACGGCGAGAUGUACGCGGAAUGGGCGGUGUAGCGGUGAAAUGCAUAGAUAUCGCGCAGAA
rnacentral:rRNA from 1 species